UACGUAGGUCCCGAGCGUUGUCCGGAUUUAUUGGGCGUAAAGCGAGCGCAGGUGGUUUAGUAAGUCUGGUGUAAAAGGCAGUGGCUCAACCAUUGUAUGCAUUGGAAAUUGGUAGACUUGAGUGCAGGAGAGGAGAGUGGAAUUCCAUGUGUAGCGGUGAAAUGCGUAGAUAUAUGGAGGAACACCGGUGGCGAAAGCGGCUCUCUGGCCUGUAACUGACACUGAGGCUCGAAAGCGUGGGGAGCAAACAGG
rnacentral:rRNA from 1 species